GACGAACGCUGGCGGCGUGCCUAAUACAUGCAAGUCGAACGCACAGUUUAUACCGUAGCUUGCUACACCAUAGACUGUGAGUUGCGAACGGGUGAGUAACGCGUAGGUAACCUGCCUGGUAGCGGGGGAUAACUAUUGGAAACGAUAGCUAAUACCGCAUAAUAUUAAUUAUUGCAUGAUAAUUAAUUGAAAGGUGCAAUUGCACCACUACCAGAUGGACCUGCGUUGUAUUAGCUAGUAGGUGAGGUAACGGCUCACCUAGGCGACGAUACAUAGCCGACCUGAGAGGGUGAUCGGCCAAACUGGGACUGAGACACGGCCCAGACUCCUACGGGAGGCAGCAGUAGGGAAUCUUCGGCAAUGGACGAAAGUCUGACCGAGCAACGCCGCGUGAGUGAAGAAGGUUUUCGGAUCGUAAAGCUCUGUUGUAAGAGAAGAACGGGUGUGAGAGUGGAAAGUUCACACUGUGACGGUAUCUUACUAGAAAGGGACGGCUAACUACGUG
rnacentral:rRNA from 1 species